UAAUGUAUGGGGAUCUGCCCGAUAGAGGGGGAUAACUACUGGAAACGGUGGCUAAUACCGCAUAAUGUCUACGGACCAAAGCAGGGGCUCUUCGGACCUUGCACUAUCGGAUGAACCCAUAUGGGAUUAGCUAGUAGGUGGGGUAAAGGCUCACCUAGGCGACGAUCUCUAGCUGGUCUGAGAGGAUGAUCAGCCACACUGGAACUGAGACACGGUCCAG
rnacentral:rRNA from 1 species